GCUCAGAAUUGGGAAGAAAGUUACAAACGGAAUGUGUGUUUGCUCACUUCAUUUCAAGAAGGACGACUACUUUUUCCCAGAUGCUCCUUCCCAGAAGAGGAGAUUGAAGAGAACAGCAGUACCCUCGGAAAAUCUUCCAGUGUCGUCUGUUCACGAUGCUGCUAAAGAAGAAAGGAAAAAGAAGAGCGCGACACAACGCUCGAAAAGGAGUGAAAGAAGAGCGGCUGCUAAGCCCCCGACGUCCAUCACAGAGCAUCUGCUGCACGAUGAUGCUAACGGUGUCGUGGAAGGUUACGACAGGGACAGAAUACACUGUGAGGGUGAAGUGCAUGGUGCAGAGGACCACGCUAAUCG